GAUGAACGCUGGCGGCGUGCCUAAUACAUGCAAGUCGAGCGAACGGACGAGAAGCUUGCUUCUCUGAUGUUAGCGGCGGACGGGUGAGUAACACGUGGAUAACCUACCUAUAAGACUGGGAUAACUUCGGGAAACCGGAGCUAAUACCGGAUAAUAUUUUGAACCGCAUGGUUCAAAAGUGAAAGACGGUCUUGCUGUCACUUAUAGAUGGAUCCGCGCUGCAUUAGCUAGUUGGUAAGGUAACGGCUUACCAAGGCAACGAUGCAUAGCCGACCUGAGAGGGUGAUCGGCCACACUGGAACUGAGACACGGUCCAGACUCCUACGGGAGGCAGCAGUAGGGAAUCUUCCGCAAUGGGCGAAAGCCUGACGGAGCAACGCCGCGUGAGUGAUGAAGGUCUUCGGAUCGGAAAACUCUGUUAUUAGGGAAGAACAAAUGUGUAAGUAACUGUGCACAUCUUGACGGUACCUAAUCAGAAAGCCACGGCUAACUACGUG
rnacentral:rRNA from 1 species